AUGAAGAGAUUUUUGAGGGGCUCGUCGAGCCGAAGCUCGAAGGAAAAACAAAAGGAAGAAGAGCAGAAGCCCAAAUUUAAUUUGCCUCGCACCACGGAGGUCCGGUCGUGUGAAUGGCCUUCCAAUGACUUCUUGAGGAGUGCCAGGAUUUAUGAGAAUUUCUAUCUAUUAAUUGAGAACGCCGGCCUCACCGACUUCCUCCGCGACCAACGUCAUCAGUAUCUCUUACUCACAAAUACUUUUGUGCAGAACUUCUACUUUUUCCCUAAGAAAUCACCUCCAACAGUAGAGUUUCAUUUAUAUGACGUUGUUAAGAGGAUGACCUUAGCUAAAUUCUGCGAGGUUUGCAGAAUACCCUUUGAGGGCACCUUAGAUGAACCCCACAGUAGCGAAGUAGAAGCUUUUAUUAACACUAUCACUGUGGGAGAAACCAGGAAGGUUUCUGAUGCAAGGAUCACUAGCAUACAUUUUCCUGUUUUACGCUACUUUGCCUUAUUUGCUAGUCGUUGCUUGAUUGGACGCGGAAACUGUGGGAACCUUAGUAUUCCUGAUAUUAUUAUUUUGUUCCAUGGUUUAUACCACAAUAACUCUGUUAGUAUGGGUGGAAUUGUUGCUCGACGGUUAAGUCUAAACCGUACUAAGGGCCCCAUCUUUGGAGGCAUUUAUGCUUCACGCCUAGCUGAACAUUUUGAAAUACCUAUUAGGCAUGAGGAGGAAGAAGAAACAGCACUGCCCCGUGCUUACUUAGAUUGA
rnacentral:rRNA from 1 species